GGCUGCAACCAACAAAGGCAGCAAGCCCAGAUUCCGGAGUAUCCACUUUGUGACAGGCCACGAUGCAGAGGGCUCCCAAAGCCACGUCCACUUUGAUGAGAAGUUGCAGGACUCGGUGGUCAUGGUCAUCCAGGAGAGGGACAGCAGCUUUCUGGUCAAGGUUCCUGAAGAUCCUGCACAGGUAUGAGAUUACCUUUGCUCCGUCCCAGUGCACAGGCUGAGCAAGGACGUCCGCCAGGCACUUGUCCCCAGCCUGCACCUGAAGCUUCUCAGCGUCCUACCCUUCCCUGAAGGUUAUAGUGUCAAGUGCGAGUACUAGGCGCACAAAGAAGGGGUCCUCAAAGAGGGGAUGCUACUAGUCUGGGAAGGUGGCACCAGCACCUGCGUGCGCGGAAGGUGCAAGCCUGCAUCAUGGGCUGACGCCAUGGCACAUGCAUGCUGCUGGACGGUGUCAAAUGCAUGGGUGCCAAGCUGGAAUACUACUCGGAGCACAGCGACUGGCACGGCUUUG
rnacentral:lncRNA from 1 species